UUUGACCAAAUUGAAAACAAA
rnacentral:piRNA from 1 species